GGGAGCAGAAGGCUGUGGGGGUUGGAAAGUAAGGGGUGUGUGAGGGUGGGGGAGUGUGUGGGGGGAAGGGCUGGGAAGAGGGAUUGUGUGGGAAGAUAAAUAGAUCCUGACCAAGGGCCCGAGCCGGUCCACUGGUGGGAUCUGUAAGUA